rnacentral:pre_miRNA from 1 species
AGCUUUUCGAAUCUAUGCUGAGAUUCCAUGAGACACCAACCCAUUAGGGCUAAUCAGACUUCCAAGAUAAGUGAAGUU